rnacentral:tRNA from 1 species
GUUUAAAUAGUUUAAAUAAAACGUUGGUUUGUGGCGCCUAAGAUAUGAGUUUUCAUUUUAAACC